rnacentral:rRNA from 1 species
CAGCCGCCGCGGUAAUACGAGGGGGGCAAGCGUUGUUCGGAAUUAUUGGGCGUAAAGGGUGCGUAGGCGGCUUGACAAGUCUCGUGUGAAAUCUAUGGGCUCAACCCAUAGUCUGCACGGGAAACUGUCGGGCUUGAGAAUGGGAGAGGUGAGUGGAAUUUCCGGUGUAGCGGUGAAAUGCGUAGGUAUCGGAAGGAACACCUGUGGCGAAAGCGGCUCACUGGACCAUUUCUGACGCUGAUGCACGAAAGCUAGGGGAGCAAACAGGAUUAGAUACCCCUGUAGUCCCUGUCUCUUAUAA